rnacentral:rRNA from 1 species
CCUACGGGAGGCAGCAGUAGGGAAUCUUCCACAAUGGGCGAAAGCCUGAUGGAGCAACGCCGCGUGGAUGAAGAAGGUCUUCGGAUCGUAAAACCCUGUUGUUAGAGAAGAAAGUGCGUGAGAGUAACUGUUUACGUUUCGACGGUAUCUAACCAGAAAGCCACGGCUAACUACGUGCCAGCAGCCGCGGUAAUACGUAGGUGGCAAGCGUUAUCCGGAUUUUUUGGGCGUAAAGGGAACGCAGGCGGUCUGUUAAGUCUGAUGUGAAAGCCUUCGGCUUAACCGGAGUAGUGCAUUGGAAACUGGGAUACUUGAGUGCAGAAGAGGUGAGUGGAACUCCAUGUGUAGCGGUGAAAUGCGUAGAUAUAUGGAAGAACACCAGUGGCGAAGGCGGCUCUCUGGUCUGUAACUGACGCUGAGGUUCGAAAGCGUGGGUAGCAAACAGGAUUAGAUACCCGAGUAGUC